GCCAGUGUGGUGUAAUGGUUUGAAUGUUGGACUAUGACUCUGGAGACUAGGGUUCAAAUCCCUUCUCAGCCA